GGGGUUGUAGCUCAGUGGUAGAGCAUUUGUCUGGCACGUAUGAGGUCCUGAGUUUGAUCCUCAGCACCACA
rnacentral:tRNA from 1 species